GAUGAAGAACGCAGCGAAAUGCGAUACUUGGUGUGAAUUGCAGAAUCCCGUGAACCAUCGAGUCUUUGAACGCAAGUUGCGCCCGAAGCCAUCAGGUUGAGGGCACGUCUGCCUGGGCGUCACAUAUCGUUGCUCGAUGCCUAUCGCAUUGCGAUAGGACUUAGGGCGAAUGAUGGCUUCCCGUGAGCGUUGUUGCCUCGCGGUUGGUUGAAAAUCGAGUCCUUGGUAGGGUGUGCCAUGAUAGAUGGUGGUCGAGUUAGCACGAGUCCGAUCAUGUGCAUGCUCCCCAAAAUAUGGCCUCUGUGACCCACACGCGUCUUUUGACGCUCAUGACGAGACCUCAGGUCAGGCGGGGCUACCCGCUGAAUUUAAGCAUAUCAAUAAGCGGAGGA
rnacentral:misc_RNA from 1 species